CUUCAUAUGCCUGCUGUGGAGAUAUCAUGUGAACAUGUGUAUCGAAGAAACCUGCUGUUGCAAUCAAACCCUCACCCGAUGUGGCCUCUGUACUUGAGCUUACAACCAUAUCCUUAUCGACAUUGUCCAUUAUGCCAGGAUUUCCUGCUUUUCCGAUUCCAACUAUCUUUCCGUCCCUUAUUCCUAUAUCUGCUUUUAUCACUCCCACCAUCGGGUCAAAUACUAUUGCGUUUGUAAUUACAUGAUCUAACGCACCUUUGGCAUGCGUUGUACCUGGUGAUGAACCCAUUCCGUCCCUAAA
rnacentral:sRNA from 1 species